rnacentral:rRNA from 1 species
GAAGAGUUUGAUCAUGGCUCAGAUUGAACGCUGGCGGCAGGCCUAACACAUGCAAGUCGAACGGUAACAGGAAGCAGCUUGCUGCUUUGCUGACGAGUGGCGGACGGGUGAGUAAUGUCUGGGAAACUGCCUGAUGGAGGGGGAUAACUACUGGAAACGGUGGCUAAUACCGCAUAACGUCGCAAGACCAAAGAGGGGGACCUUCGGGCCUCUUGCCAUCAGAUGUGCCCAGAUGGGAUUAGCUUGUUGGUGAGGUAACGGCUCACCAAGGCGACGAUCCCUAGCUGGUCUGAGAGGAUGACCAGCCACACUGGAACUGAGACACGGUCCAGACUCCUACGGGAGGCAGCAGUGGGGAAUAUUGCACAAUGGGCGCAAGCCUGAUGCAGCCAUGCCGCGUGUAUGAAGAAGGCCUUCGGGUUGUAAAGUACUUUCAGCGGGGAGGAAGGUGUUGUGGUUAAUAACCGCAGCAAUUGACGUUACCCGCAGAAGAAGCACCGGCUAACUCCGUGCCAGCAGCCGCGGUAAUACGGAGGGUGCAAGCGUUAAUCGGAAUUACUGGGCGUAAAGCGCACGCAGGCGGUCUGUCAAGUCGGAUGUGAAAUCCCCGGGCUCAACCUGGGAACUGCAUUCGAAACUGGCAGGCUUGAGUCUUGUAGAGGGGGGUAGAAUUCCAGGUGUAGCGGUGAAAUGCGUAGAGAUCUGGAGGAAUACCGGUGGCGAAGGCGGCCCCCUGGACAAAGACUGACGCUC